AUUGAACGCUGGCGGCAUGCCUUACACAUGCAAGUCGAACGGCAGCACGGGAGCUUGCUCCUGGUGGCGAGUGGCGAACGGGUGAGUAAUACAUCGGAACGUACCCUGAAGUGGGGGAUAACGUAGCGAAAGUUACGCUAAUACCGCAUAUUCUGUGAGCAGGAAAGAGGGGGAUCGCAAGACCUCUUGCUUUAGGAGCGGCCGAUGUCGGAUUAGCUAGUUGGUGAGGCAAAGGCUCACCAAGGCGACGAUCCGUAGCGGGUCUGAGAGGAUGAUCCGCCACACUGGGACUGGGACACGGCCCAGACUCCUACGGGAGGCAGCAGUGGGGAAUUUUGGACAAUGGGCGCAAGCCUGAUCCAGCCAUGCCGCGUGAGUGAAGAAGGCCU
rnacentral:rRNA from 1 species